AGCUCAGAGAAACAAAAACUUUCCUAAAACUCAGGGCGUCGGUUAGCUGAUUGGCAAAUACAGUAACGCACACAUCCCAAACGGGACUUGGCAAAACGGUGUGCAUCUGGAUUAACUGUCAUACAGUCUCCACGUCACUCUUCCACGAGGCCGGACAGAAGCGGGCAGAAGUGAGCAGCAGCAGGCCAAGAAAGUCUCCAAAAGGACUCAGGAAAACAAACAAACAAAACAAAGAAAACCAACAACCUGAAGCAAGCUUAGAGAUCAGUUACUAAGAGUCUUUCAUCUCAAUGUUCUCUCU
rnacentral:lncRNA from 1 species